AGCGAACGCUGGCGGCAGGCUUAACACAUGCAAGUCGAGCGGGCAUAGCAAUAAGUCAGCGGCAGACGGGUGAGUAACGCGUGGGAACGUACCUUUUGGUUCGGAACAACUGAGGGAAACUUCAGCUAAUACCGGAUAAGCCCUUACGGGGAAAGAUUUAUCGCCGAAAGAUCGGCCCGCGUCUGAUUAGCUAGUUGGUGAGGUAAUGGCUCACCAAGGCGACGAUCAGUAGCUGGUCUGAGAGGAUGAUCAGCCACAUUGGGACUGAGACACGGCCCAAACUCCUACGGGAGGCAGCAGUGGGGAAUAUUGGACAAUGGGCGCAAGCCUGAUCCAGCCAUGCCGCGUGAGUGAUGAAGGCCCUAGGGUUGUAAAGCUCUUUUGUGCGGGAAGAUAAUGACGGUACCGCAAGAAUAAGCCCCGGCUAACUUCGUGCCAGCAGCCGCGGUAA
rnacentral:rRNA from 1 species